rnacentral:lncRNA from 1 species
UGUUGUGUAUGUGUGUUUGUGUUGUGAUUUUGUGAAUCAGCUAGAGCUAGUGUCAGUGUUUCGGUAGUGUCAUUAGUGAUUUAUUUAUUAUUUAUGAAUGGAUCUUACGUGUCAAAUAUCGUAUUGCAAUAACGUUUAGUCGAAAUUUCCUACCAAUAAUAAAACGAAGGUAACCCAGAGCGUUCUGUUCCCUUCCAUCGUUAUCUCGCUUGUCUAGCGAGUCUCGUUUCUGGCAAUCAUCCCGAAGGUCCAAGGCUCAACUCCAGUUUCCAGCACACCCCGCCAUGAAGCCUGUUUUUGUAUUUUAUUAAACAUUUAUUUUUUAUUGUGAUUUCUUGUGUUUUGACUUCUUUUAUGUAUAUUGUAUUGUGCUGAUUUGAAUAAAAUUAUUGAUUGAUUGAAUUGAUGUCUAUUAGCUUUGGAACGUAUUGAAUGAAUGAAUAUGUAGUCAUGCUCAGUUCUAGGUAUGAAUUAGAAAUCUUCAUAGUACUACGUUUAUAAAUAAUAAUAGUUCUGAUGCAUAAUACAUUAAUACUUCCAGUUCAAUACUACUGAAAGUAGACAACUUUCUUUCCAACUUGAACUGCGGAAACAAGGUUGUUAUUCUCCUAGUUAGUUUGUCUUGAUAGAAGAAAAUUCUCCGAUUUUCCUACAUUCAUUAAGUCUCCUGAAUGUUAACAUGUCUUCUUUAGGCUAGGAAUAUGCUUAUAGCGCUAACCUAACCUAAUCUAACCUCCUAAUUUUUUCAUGUGUUAUCAAAAGAAACAAAUAAAUUCAUCGACCAAUUCUUGAAAAUGGGAUAGUUCAUGUCCCACGAGUAGAAAACCUGAAGGCAAGAAUACCAUACUCAAUGAAUAUUAUAUUCCAUAUCUGACUCGAUAAUUGUGGGUAGAGGUGUUUUAAUUUGAUGAGUUUUAUUAGGAGUUAUCAAUUUCAUUCAAUACUUUUACUUGAACGUGAAGAAAACUUCAUCGUUACUACAUUAAAGGCGGUGUAAGGUUAUAAAUCGUUUACAAUGUCGACUCCACCAUAAUAAUAUUCCGUCUCUUCACAAUUGAUAUGUGACAAUGAUAAUAUCGUCUCUCCACGAGUGAUAUGUUCAUGUAAAUUGAAUAGAGUUCGUUGGCAGAAUGUGAUAUGAACUGUAUAUUAUUGGAUUUCACAUUAUGUAGAACAGAAUUGUGAAUCAUGACGCGUGGCAUGAGAAAUAUGGGAUUGGGAAAAGGAUCUAAAUCAAAUGCCAGAAGAAAAGAGCUUUGAAUGGGAAUGAGUCACUCAUCGUUCCUAGAUAAAAAAAGUGUUGAAAGACUGGGAAGGAAGUUGAGCCGUCACAAAUUAUUCGAGUGAAUUGAAUUUAAAUAUUCAAUUCAAGUGAGUCGAGAAAAUCACACGUCUUAACACGUGCAAACUGAUGGAUGUGUUGCACACGAAACAUAUAACUAAUCGUUGCAUGUAUAGAUUCAAAAACAUCAGACAGUAGCUGGUUGUCCAAAACUGAAUCUUCAAAUAAAGGUAAAGUGGUAAAGCACUCAACUUUCACAUAUCCCACCUAUUCUACCUACGUUGAUAAACAAUUGUCGUUUCAAAUUGUCUGUCUGUGCACCUUUCUACAACUACUGUAUUACAAAAUCAAGGUGAAGUAGAUAAUGUUUUUCACUUGAUCAAGGAAUGUCGAAAGCAUCAAAUUCUUCUGUAAGAACUUGACGAGCUCCCUUUUUUAACGGGUGUGACACUUCAUGAAUAUGAAGGAAUUCUUUGUACUCAAUAAUCAAUUUAAUAGUAUCAGUAUUUGAAUUUAGUCCACAUAUUUUAAAAUAACCGAUUUCAUUAGUCAGCAUUAUUGUUGAUUGUUAAUAUGUACCGUUCUGAUCAUAUCUA